UUUAUACAGUUAUUAACGUAUACGAACACUGAUAUAUAUAUAUAUAUACUAUACACACACUCACAUUGAUAUAUAUACUACACACACGGUCACACUCACACUCACACUCACACAAACUCUCACACUGACACAUUCACUCACUCACUCACACACACAUACACACUCACACUCACGUUCACACUCGCACUCACGUUCACACUCGCACACUCACACUUACACUCACAUUCACACUAACGCUCAGUUAUAUAUAUUAUACAUAUGUGCAUGUUGUGUAUAGAUUGAUGUGUCUAUAUAUAC
rnacentral:lncRNA from 1 species